rnacentral:rRNA from 1 species
UGCUCAAAAUGGGAGGUAUAUUUCUUCUAAAGCUAAAUACCGGCCAGAGACCGAUAGCGCACAAGUAGAGUGAUCGAAAGAUGAAAAGCACUUUGAAAAGAGGGUUAAACAGCACGUGAAAUUGUUAAAAGGGAAGCGCUUGUGACCAGACUUGCGUCCGGUGAAUCACCCAGCUCUCGCGGCUGGGGCACUUCGCCGGCUCAGGCCAGCAUCAGCUCGCUGUCGGGGACAAAAGCUUCAGGAACGUAGCUCUCUUCGGGGAGUGUUAUAGCCUGUUGCAUAAUACCCUUCGGCGGGCUGAGGUACGCGCUCCGCAAGGAUGCUGGCAUA